rnacentral:rRNA from 1 species
AUGCAGCUUGAGCUUGUUCAAGUGGAUGGAGUUGUUUCCUGUUCCUGCAUCCGCAUUCGUGGGAUGGCACGCAAUAGCAGCAGCGAGUGCGGCGACUUAGUGGAUGCAGAGACGCACAUGGAUGGUACAGCCGUUGUGUUCUUUAUUUGUACCACCUGCAACAAAUUCAUCGACCGAGCUAGCUUCCAACUCGUUUUUGCCAUGGUUUUGAAGGCGGUUUUGUGUAGAACAGCCACGGAGCAGAAACAACGAACAUGCUGCUUCAGCAACAGCGUCAUGCUUGUUCUAAGUUUGCUUAGUCAUGUAAAUGAUGGUCGUCCAUUGGCGGAGUGCUUAGAUGGUGGUUAUGUGAAGGAUGUUGUCUUCUACAAGCAGCAAGAAAAAUUGUUGUUCAAAAACAUAUCUAAAGGCCAACAUGAAUCAUCAAGACUGUCAACUGAGUCUGGACCAUACAUCAAUUGCAACGGGUUUUAG